rnacentral:lncRNA from 13 species
UGCAAUUGUUGCCAUAUUGCUUAUUCAAUCAUUUCUGAUGCACAGAAGUGUUUAGGCCAGGGUGUAGGAUUUAGGGGUCAAUUUGGAAUUAGGAAUCAAAUGUAGAUCAGGGGCUAACAGCUGUCCUUAAUUAGCCAAUGCCAUUAGAAGGGUCUGGGAUUUGUUUAAAAGGAGCAACCAAAAAAGCCUGCCAGAUACAUCAUAAGGAAUAUUAUGCUAGGGCUUAUACCAGCCAUUAUUUCUGAUUACUGGGGAGCUUUUGAGGCGCAAAAUGGCCGUGAUGAUUGGAAUCGCUUUCAGAGUUUCUUGGCUUUGUUGCCUGCUAAUUGGCGGGAUAACCUGUUCUACAUCAAGUGAUGGGUAUCCUGCACCAGGUUCUGAUGCAGCAUGGCUCUAUACAGGCCCACUUAGGUCUAAAGGAUAUGGUAAUUACAACUCUCCAACAGCUCAAUUGCAAGCGCAGCUGACCGAAGAGCAACAGAAACAUCUGGGAGCCAUCCUGCAAAAGCAACUGGCCCCCAUGCCCCAGGCACCUCAGAAAAUGUGGUAUCCAACUCAAAUGCCCCAGCAGGAAAAGCAACCGGCCGCCAUGACCCAACAGCAGACGCUAUCGGCCUUUUAUCCUAAGCAGCUUCAAUCAAUGUUGUAUCCAGCUCAAAUGCUGCUGAAGCAACUGACUGCCAUGCCCCAGCAAGUGUGGUAUCCGCCUAAGCCCCAGAAGCAACUGGCCGCUGAUCCUCAAGAGCAGAUUGAACUGACCGCCAUGCCCCAGCAACCAUGGUAUCCAGCUCAAAAGCCCCAGCUGCAGAAGCAACCGGCUACUGAACCUCAGCAGCAGAAGGAACCGGCCUCCAUAACCCAGCAACCUCAGCAAGUGUUGCAUCCAGCUCAAAUGCUGCUGAAGCAACUGACUGCCAUGCCCCAGCAAGUGUGGUAUCCAGCUAAGCCCCAGAAGCAACUGGCCGCUGAACCUCAGCAGCAAAUUCAACUGACCGCCAUGCCCGGGCUACCUCAGAAAAUGUGGUAUCCAACUCAAAUGCCCCAGCAGGAAAAGCAACCGGCCGCCAUGACCCAACAGGAGACGCUACCGGCAUUUUAUCCUAAGCAGCUUCAAUCAAUGUUGUAUCCAGCUCAAAUGCCCCAGAAGCAACCAGUUACUGAACUUCAGCUUCAGAAGGAACAGGCCUCCAUACCCCAGCUACCUCAGCAAGUGUGGUAUCCAGUUCAAAUUCCUCAGCAGCAAAAGCAACCAGCUACUGGUCCUCAGCAGCAGACGGAACUGACCACCAUGUCCCAGAAGCAACCAGCCCCAAUGCCUCAACCGCAGAAGCAACAGGCCACCAUGCCCCCGCAAGUAUGGCAUCCAGCUCAAAUUCCUCAGCAGCAAAAGCAACCAGCUACUGGUCCUCAGCAGCAGAUGGAACUGACCACCAUGCCCCAGAAGCAACCGGCUCCAAUGCCUAUACCGCAGAAACAACCAACAGCUAUGCCCCAGAAAGCAUGGUAUCCAGCUCAAAUGCAGCAGAAGCAACCGGCCACCAUGCACCAGCAAGCGUGGCAUCCAGCUCAAUUGCCCCAGCAGCAAAAGCAACCGGCUACUGAACCUCAGCAGCAGAAGGAACCGGCCUCCAUAACCCAGCAACCUCAGCAAGUGUUGCAUCCAGCUCAAAUGCUGCUGAAGCAACUGACUGCCAUGCCCCAGCAAGUGUGGCAUCCAGCUCAAAUGCCCCAGAAGCAACAAACCGCUGAACCUCAGUGGCAUCCAGCCAAAUUUCCCCAGGAGCAACCAGUCCCUAUGCAUCACCUGCAGAAGGAACUGACCGCCAUUCCACCACUGAGGCAAUCCGCUCAAAUUCCCCAGCAGCAUAAGCAACCGGCUGCCAAGCAUCAGCAAUUGUGGCAACUGGCCCCCAUUCCCCAGCAGCCUCAUGACGUGUGGUAUCCAGCUAAAAUGGUCCAGAAGCAACAAGCAGCUGCAACUCGGCGGCAGAAGGAACUGACCACCAUGCCUCAAGAGUGGCAUCCAGCUCAAUUUCCCCAGCAGCAGAAGCAACCAGCCCUAAUGCUUUUACCGCAGAAGGAACUGACCGCCAUACACCAGCAACCUCAGCAAGUGUGGUAUCCAGCUCAAAUGCCCCAGAACCAACCAACCACUGAACCCCAGCAGCAGAAGCAACCGGCUGCUGAACCUCAGCAGCAGAAGGAACCGGCCACCAUGCCCCAGCAACCAUGGUAUCCAGCUCAAAAGCCCCAGCUGCAGAAGCAACCGGCCGCUGAACCUC